rnacentral:lncRNA from 1 species
AUGAAAUCCAGGAGCUUUUCCACUGGGAAGAAGUUGCUCCUCUCUGUCUUGGGCAUGCUGUUUCUUGUGGCUUUGCUGGAUUAUGGUGCUUGGUAUUUCUACCCCUCUGGACUCCGGACCUUCCACCCUGCUAUGCUCUCCUGGUUGGCAGCAAAGGGUAGCAGCAGGAGACAGGACGUGUGCGAAUCAGGAGAAUUCACACCAGAUUUCCAGGUGAGCACCCCACUGAGUGCCAGGAAAGCUUUGCACAGGACACACAGACGACUCAUGCACCAUCCAGUUCCUGUCUCUUAAGCUAGGGUUACUCAGCCAAGCAGCACUUAUGAAGCAUGACCUACUGUGGGUCAGGCACUGUCCCAAGGCAAAAACCAACCAAACAACCCCACAGUCCUUGCCCAUGAGGAGCUGGCAGUCUCCUCAUGAGGAGACAUCUAGGUGCCAAGGAGACCUGACAGGACAAAUGGGAGUGAAGCAUUAGAGGGUGUUGGCUCUGCUGUUUCUUGUAGGGCAGCCAUAAAGCCUAUUGCUAUGCCCUCCUUGAAGGCAACCCUGGUUUGGCAGGAUCUGCCAGCUGGUGUCCUCUGCUGCCACUGUCUUUGGGACCCCAGGGUCAGCUCUGCGGGCAUCAGAAGAGGGAGAAGUCACAUUAGCUAGAGAAAGAUGCUUCUGUUUUCAUUCUUUUAAUGAACAAGAAUCUAUUUUCUUUUCUUCUCGCCUCCUAUCCAUUUGAAAAACGGAAAAACAAACCACUUCUUACAAACAUACAGAGACAAGCAAAACAGUUCCUCCUGGGCCAUGUCUAAAAGAUGUAUUUCUCCUUCUGCCUUGGUCCAUCCCCUCUCUGUCAGAAGUUGCAUCAUUUGCCAGAAGAGUAGCUGGUCACUGCCUUCAACAGAGUUCUGCACUCUUUCACAGUGGUUUGUCUUUGUGCUUCUGCUCACUCUUCUGCACAUCAGUUCAUGCAAGUCUUCCCAGCUUUCUCUGAACACCACCCCUUUCAUCAUCUCUAAGAGUAUGGUAGAUUCAGUCCCUACUCCAUAAUUUCUUUUUUUCCAACUCCAUCAUUUGUUCAGCUCUUGCCAAGUGCGGGGUUUCCAGUUUUUUGUCACAGCAAGAAAAAUUGGCCAUCAAUAUUCCUGUCCAGAUCGGACUUUUUCCUCUUUGUUUGAUCUCUUUGGGGAAUAGGCCCAGGAGUUGUCUUGCCAGGUGAGUGGGUAGACAUGUUUUAUUAUCUCGGGGGGCAAGGCUCCUAACUGCUUUCCAGAAUGGCUGGACUAGUUUCCAGUUUCUACUUAGAGCACUGUUGAGUCGUGUCUGGUGAGGUGCACUCUUCGCCGCCCCAUUUGGGAAUUUUCUUGGCAAAGAUCCUGGAGUGGUUUGCCAUUUCCGUCUCCAGAUGAUUUUUAAAGUGAGGAAAUGGGGGCAAACAGGGCGAAUUAUCUUACCCAGGAUCACACAGCAACUAACUAUCUGAGACCAAGCCUAGAGUUCUACGCACUCUCGCGCCCCCUAGCGUCCCUAGUCCAACACUAAUGUGCCUGACUUCGCCCAGCCUGCUCAACUUAGGGCAUUUUGCCUGAUUGUCCUCUUUGCCAACCUGACAGGUAGGGGGUAGAACCUUAGACUUGCCUUCAUGGGCAUUUCUCUACUUCUCCGUGAUUCGGAGCAUUUGUUUCAUUUGAUCAUUGAUCCCUUGCAUUUCUUCUUUGGAAAAAUGCCUGUUCAUAUCCUUUGACUGUCUACUGGAGAAAGCACCACAGACACCUGAGGGGGGGAAAGCCAGCAGGUCAUUUUCUCUGAUUUUCUUUUCCUUUCCAGUAGAAUUGACGUCAGCUUUCCUGGGUUUAUGUUUUUGUAUAAGCCGCACAAAAUUUGAUUUUGGUCACACUUCCAAGCAUUAUUUCUCCUUCUCCUCCUUUUCCUCCUCCUCCUCCUCCUCCUCCUCCUCCUCCUCCUCCUCCUCCUUCUCCUCCUUCUUCUUCUUCUUUACAAAUACGCAAUUAAUUAAGUGAUAGUUUUUAAGAUUCACUUCCAUAAGACUUUGAGUUUUAAAUUGUCGCCCCCUCCAUCUCCCCUCCUCCCAAGAUAGCGUGCAACCUGAUAUAGGCUCUCCUUCUACAUUCAGGUUAAGUAUAUAUUCCCAUUAGUCAUGAUGUAAAGUAGAAGUAGAACUAAUGCGAGGAACCAUGAGAAUGAAGCAAUAAAACAAAACCACAAAGGAAAAGGAGAUCA